UGACUUACCUGGAGGUGUUCAUGAUUGGACGAUCAAUAAGACUCACUGCCUAGACUGGUGACCUCCAUUGCACUUUGAAGGGUUGCUAUCUUAAGGUCGGCUCAAGUGGUCGAGCCUAUGUCAUAAUUUGUGACAGUGGGGUCCUACAUUCGCGCGAUCCCUAC